UAAGUUUUUAAUUAUAAAAGCGCGUAAAUUCUUCUUUGUCGACAUCUUCGUCCGGUUAUGGGCAGUUUAUUGCAUGAGCGUCCUCUUCAGGUGAAGACAUUUUUAAAAAGCACUUUCUAUCCAAGGCACACCCGAGAUGCCUGAAGAUGACUACAGCUGGGAGCUAUUAGCUGGAAAAUACAAUGGGACCACAGCAUAAAAUCUUACCUAGUCCGAGUUCAAAUUUGAUAACAAUACCACAGAAAAUUUAUAUUUUUACACGUUUUUCUAAGGCGUUUUCCAAAAUCGCAUUUUUGUAGAGUCCAAAGGAACCUUGGUAACCAAGGACACACCCAGCUGACAAAAAAGGUCCCCAGAACGUCCCCUAAAUGGCCUCUGCAAACGUUUACGUGUAGGGUCCCCUUGACGUCCUGUGGAAGUCCGCAAAACGUCCCACGGACGUUCAAGGGGAUGUUCACAGGACAUCCAGCUGAAGCUUAGGGGACUUUCACUUAAAGUCCUCUGAACAUCGUUUUAUUUUACUUAUAUAGAAUAUAAAGUGUAAUCAAUGUGUGUAACUAUGAAGUUGACUAAUGUUUCAAUGUGUGUAACUACAAAGUUUACUAAUGUUUGGAUAUGUUAAUUUAAAUGUUUAAAUAUGUUAAUGUAUGUAUACCCAACAGUUAAGAAUUACUUGUGAGAAACAUUGUCUAAACUCAUAGUACACUUGUUGAUCAAGUUAUAAUCUAAGUGUGUAUUGAGCUAGAAGAAUUAUGUGUCAGUCUGUACCUCUCUGCACAGCAGGCCUAAUUUAAAACUAUAAAAACACUUUCUAACAAGUGGUAUUCUAAGUGUGUACAUUAAGUGCUUUGUGUUUGUCUAAAGCGGCUUCACUCUAUGGCAGUAAAUUAAGAACCUUGUGUUUGUCUAAAGCAGCUUCACUUUGUGGCAAUAAAAAACAAUUAGGCAUAUACCAGAACUGAGUUUCUAAACAAAGCCCUCUAAGCUUGCAAAUCAGUGUUAAAAGAAAAGAUAAGAAUUCAAGGAGGAAAAGUACCAAGAUGAGACUAUAGGGUGAAUUAUUUGAUAAAGUAAAAAACCCUGGUCUGGUAAAACUUUUAAAGAAAAUACAACUGACUACGCAUGCGCCACAAAUUUAAGGUAUCAUAUGGCUGUGAAUAAUUAGUUAAGGUAAUGGACAUUGGUUUGUUUCUAGAAAGAAAAGGUGAAUGCCCCGCCUAGAGAUAAUUUUACUGCUUCAGAGAGCUAUAUAAAGACGUGUGUUUGUAUGUACAAUUGUGACCCUCUACAGACUCUCUCACGUUAUUGUUUCAAUAAACAUAUGAACAACCUCCAUAUUAGCUUCAGUUAAUAACGAUAGGUGACUGAGUUUUUGUUUGUUUGUUUGUUUGUUUUGUUCUGUUUUUUAAUUAGAAUUUAGAACGUAGAACUUCGAAUGUAUUGCGUGACAUAAGCAAGAAACCCUAUAUAUAAGAGAAGUCUCACUCGGUAUAACUACAACAGCUGCUGAUCUGCUUCAUUUACAUCUCGGACUUUCACCGGACGGACUCGCGCAGGAAAACUGGACGGAACAUCUGUUCGGAGCAGGAGAAACGGAGCACGCUUUCGGAGACAGUACGCGCACGCACACGCGUGAACAUCUCUGAACUUCAGAUCAACCAGGUUAUCAAAAAGCUUCAGCAGGUGCCGUGUGACACACACACACACACAAGGUUGGCUGCCACACACACACUGAAAUAGAAAUACACUGGAAUGGCCAAUCAUAGCGCAAUUAGUGAUAACGAGGCGAGAUCGCGGCCCGCCAUCUUGCUCAGUGCUACAUGUAGUCCAUAGUUACUGGCAGCAUGGCGUCAGAUCACAUGUACCCAAGGAAAAAGCCCAAACUGAGCCAAGGGGCACAUAUAUAGACAUUCUGUAAUAAUUUUUCACCUCCAUUUUCAAAUGUUAUACAUUGUCAUGCAAACAUUUUUUAAAUUAAAAAUCAUAUUUAUUAUAUUUACAUAUUAAUUGAAUGGGCAAGAGACUGCUUGAUUAAAUGAAUGGGAAUGAAAUUCUGCUGAUUAAACCUCACUUGAUGAGUUUUUUUGUCAAAUAAUGGUACAGUUGUGGUGGGAAAAUUGUCAUUAUAAGACUUACUAAAAGGUUAGACAAAACAAAAUUUGUCUAAGACUGACAGAAGCAGUAAGUCAUAUUUUUCCCACCACGGUUGUCAAUUUAUACCUAAGAAAGGUUAUAAAUAAUAAAUAGCAUAAUAUUUAUUUAUUUAUUUGAACAUUUAACAAGAAUGACCCACUCAGCAGGUGCUGUUUUUCACUGGGGCCCUUGGAAUUACAAAUUCAUGAAAUAUUUAAAAUAUCUACAACCUAGAUCUAUACAAAUUUACAAAUCAACAUUUCAGAUUUCUAAUAAACCUAUAUUAACAUAUUAAAACUAUUAACAUAUAUACAGAUAAACAAUUCAGACUAGAAACAUAUUUUUACAAUAAACAUUUCAGACUAGGAGAUUAUAUACAGUUAAGCAUAUAUAAUGCUACUUAACAUUAUAUGGAAUCUUGUAUUGGGGGGGCAGCAACAACGUUCAACUGAAAAAUUCAAAAUUUGUCCAUAGUCAUAACAGUCAGAUAUACAGUAUAAAUAUAUUUUAAAAAUGAAAAUGCAUAAUGAGAUACU